rnacentral:rRNA from 1 species
UCGCUACUACCGAUUGAAUGGCUUAGUGAGCCCGAGGGACUGAUGCACUUCGAGGGGUUUCUCUCGAUGAGUAUCCGGGAACUCGGUCAAACUUGAUCAUUUAGAGGAAGUAA